rnacentral:tRNA from 5 species
GGGCUUGUGGUCCAGUGGUUAUGACGCUUCCCUCACACGGAAGAAAUCGCCGGUUCAAAUCCGGCCAGGCCCA